AAAAGAAAGUGGGAGAGUAACAAGCUAAAUGCCCGGUGGAGAAUAAACAUUGGCCCGGCGUUCUCUCGCUACAAGCCCUUGUAGCGCCGUCGUCUUGGACGAGAUGGUUGAAGGAUGUAAAGACGUUCAUCACCUCCAGGACUACAUCAGAUCUGGAAAACUUCCAGAAUCACAUCCUCAUGCAGGGAAGGUUCUCCUACUCCAGCAGUGAAUCGCACGCGGACUCUCCCAGCACGAAACAUGGAUGGACACAAGAUGCUACUGCUACUAUAGUCAUUGUAUUUAUUUACAGUAACUUCUUA